UACGAAGGGGGCGAGCGUUGUUCGGAAUUACUGGGCGUAAAGGGCGCGCAGGCGGUUUGGUAAGACAGAUGUGAAAUCCCCGGGCUUAACCUGGGAAUUGCAUUUGUGACUGCCCGGCUAGAGUGUGUCAGAGGGGGGUAGAAUUCCACGUGUAGCAGUGAAAUGCGUAGAUAUGUGGAGGAAUACCGAUGGCGAAGGCAGCCCCCUGGGAUAACACUGACGCUCAUGCACGAAAGCGUGGGGAGCAAACAGG
rnacentral:rRNA from 1 species